UUCACCUGAAGCCUGCUCCAGCUCUCUGCAGUGACCCAAGUCAAUCUGUGUGUGGAAAAAGCAAAGUGUUUCCAGCACCUCAAUUUUAUUUCUGCUGCCACAAAUGAAGUUGUGUCUGUAACUGCUUGCUGGAUGCUGAAUCACUGACUGAACACAAGAUGUACCUUUUCACUAUGGACUUGCUUGGUGAUGUCUGAACUGUAUCUGACCCUGACCUGACACCCCAACUUAACCUCAGACCCACCCCAUCAGCAGGGACUUCCAUGAUGAUGUGGAUUCCACUGAUCAGCUGAAGUUAGAUGGCAUCUUCAUGCCUGUUCUGCUUGCUUUGCUCAGGCGCAAACAGAAGGAGCUGGCAAGCAGGAGAAGAGGUGUGGAGGAUGGAGGAAGCUAAACCAGUAAGGAAACCCUUUGUGAGACAUGCUGAAGACACUCUUUCUCUAAUCAAAUGUUCCUGCAUGGCAAGUGCUUUAGACCCGAGGAAGCUAUGGUCUGUGAUAUGCUGCCUGGUGGUGGUGAAG